GAGUUCUUUCUCUGGGAACAAGGAGAGGAGCGCUCUCUUGACCUCCGCCUCGAGGAGCAGGAUAGGUGCGCCGGACAGGUUUAGCCUCGAGGGGAAGGACGAGACGAGAACAGGAAGAAGUCGACGAAAGUCGAGCGUGGCGAGUCCUGCCGCGGACGCUGGACAAACUACCUCUGUCAUCGUGACCUUCUUCAAGUCUUGACACGCCACUUCGACUCCUCGUUAGGAGUUGCCGCGUUCUUAGUUCAUAUACAACCGACACCCCGACCUAAACCCCCACUGGCCGGCUACCGACGAAACUUCAAUAACCUCUCUCAGCUUCUUGAAUUGAUGUAUCAUGAACUCACAAACCGCCUCGCUUGUGAACGUCUGGCGAUGGUUCAAUACGACCGUCCUCCCUUUCCUAAACUAGGGGCUCAAUUCCUCACCGACAGCCACGAAGAUGGGAACCGAAACCUAUCUCUUCAAACGUAUUAUUGAUUGUACCCUCGUUAACUAGGUGGACCUCGUGUCUUUCUUUAUGACCUGGAACGAAGAUCAAACCCUGACCUCUAUUGUCAGCGACAUCGAAUACUUAGCAGCUAAAGCCCAGGUCUUUUGAGUCAUAAUAGCUUACUUAGUUACCCUCACCGUCUCCCUUCUUCGUGUAUAGAACCACGUCGGGGGUAACAUGUAACGGACCUUUGAAUGUUUGGUGUACAGCAGUAAUGAAGAGCCCAACGACUACGUCGUGAUAAAAAUCGUGGAUACCAGAUGCUUAACCCAACCUUAACCUUACUGAAACUAUUCAACCGUGUUCCCUGUAACCGAUCGGUAGAAGACCUUACACCAACAGUAGAGUGACCUCCUAUAAAGUACGUGGGACCUCUACGUAUAGCUUUAAAAAGAAAACUCGUCGAAGCCCUAAACAGAGAAGGCAUACGACUUCACUCAAUGUUUCCUCUUCAAACACAACGGUUCCGUUUCCCAUCGCCUCCAGAAGACUCGAUAUCGUGAACACGUCUUGUCGAAGACAUACUUCAACCUCUGGGACGUUUGAUGUAGUGAGGACUAGACCCUUUCCCUACCUUUCCGACCCCUCUCUAUAGUAUACCCCCUGUUCCCACAAAUUCCGCGCGAGUCCGUCGUCUUAUGGAUCAAUCUAGUACCUACUUACUUUCUAUAGGGCCGUAGCUUCUCUUUUAUUAGCGUAUACAAUACCCUAUACUAUCGCACUUUCGAUUACCUCCACUGUUACUGUCAGCAGUGAGAAGGUUCCUUCACUAUCUACAAUCUGAAGCCUACCUACCCGAUAAACUCGUCCUCCUCGUACGACUACCUAAGCAACUCCUCAAGUAACGCGAAAUAUGUUUACCAGGUCGGCCCCCACCACCGUAGUCGUGACCUGCUUUCUUGCUUGAUUGAGACGUCUUCAACGACUAACUAUCCCUUUUGUAGAAGACCGUUCGGUUACGCUUCUUGAGUCGGUAAGGACCAAGUGUCUUAGACAGAUGUUUACGGUUAUUCUUCUUAUCCAUGUGCCCUUCAACACGCCGCCCGUAAGUUGUUGUGAACUUAUGUUUCGACCUGCUUGGUCGUGGAGGACAUAGACGAGGUCGAGGUAGGCCCAGCCUCUAGCGGGACAUGGCACACCGGGUGUCGUCUCGGCCACUGUUCCCUUUGCUGGACUUAGACAGGUAGUAGGGAGUAAAGGGUCUGCUGUAACCGGCCGAGUCCUGUCACUAGUGAGGACUCACCCACUUCCCGAGAGAGAGCGGGGACGAACUAGCAAGCAGCAAAGGUCUGCUGCCUCACUAACUCGCAGCGUUGUUAGACGAGCUCGCACAGCACCAGCUCUAAAUGCUACAGGGCCCGUAGUCGAGGAACUUGCAGCACCACUCCUUAUAGGAGCUGCCGCCGCACUUGACGAGGUCUUCCCACCUGGCCGUGCCUUUCUGGGACAGCCUAGAGUAGGAGACAGCCUUUCAGCAGAACGGAGGCAUCACUGACUGACAACUCUCUAGCGGCCGUGGGCUACACCUCCCUCCCUACAGAUCUUAGUAGUUCACAACAACGCAUUUUUUAUCUUUCCGGCUGCACUAUUAUUCUGACCACUUCUCGUGUUAUUACGGACAACAUACUUUGUUUGUUUGGUAUAUACAUACGAGAAUAAUUAGCUAACCGUAGUAACCGGUCAAUGAAUAAACCACA
rnacentral:rRNA from 1 species